GCAGAGACAACAAAGUCAGCAAAUUUCCCAGAACGUGACCACCAUUAUCGGUGGCAAUGGGUAAUGCCUUUGAUCAGUUGUUUAAAAAGAAAGAACUUAGCAAAGAAGCAAUCAUAAAGAAAGUUAGAUGGUGUCAGGCUUUAGAGGCAUGUGAAGAAUAUCACAGAGAGUUGAUGCUUUGUAAAAAAUCAGCAAUAAUGAGUACUUGUUCAAAAGAGAAUAAAAAAUUUUGGGAUUGUGUACAAGCAAUAACUAAUCCAGAAAAAGUACAUCAAGAAGACAGGAAAGAGCCACCUUGAAAGUAAUAAGCCUUUGCUUCCUAACAAUGUUAAAGCCAUCUAUGAUGUCUGACACAAGGCAUUCUUCCUCUGAAUCUGAUACACAGACCGUCUUGUACAUAAAUAUUUUGUGAAACUAACAGUCAAUCAUUUUUAAAGUGUAGUUUGUGGUGCCUUAAAUCAAAAGUGAAAGUUUGUGUAAAA